UACGGAGGGUGCGAGCGUUGUCCGGAAUCACUGGGCGUAAAGGGCGCGUAGGCGGCCUGGUAAGUAGGGGGUGAAAUCCUGCGGCUUAACCGCAGGGCUGCCUUCUAAACUGUCAGGCUCGAGCACGGUAGAGGCAGAUGGAAUUCCCGGUGUAGCGGUGGAAUGCGUAGAGAUCGGGAGGAACACCAGAGGCGAAGGCGGCGACCUGGACAGAUACUGACACUCAACUACGAAAGCGUGGGGAGCAAACAGG
rnacentral:rRNA from 1 species